rnacentral:rRNA from 1 species
GCAGGACACACAGAACAUCGAGAUCUUGAACGUAUAUAGCGGCCUCGGGCACUUCCGACGCCACGCCCGUCUCAGGGUCGGUU